UUGAAUGGCCGCAGUAUAUUGACUGUGCUAAGGUAGCAUAAUCAUUAGUUUUUUAAUUGAAAACUGGAAUGAAGGGUUGGACGAAAAAAAAGCUGUCUAUAAUUAAUUUAAUAGAAUUUUAUAUUUAAGUUAAAAAGCUUAAAUUUUUUUAAAAGACGAGAAGACCCUAUAGAGUUUAAUAAUUAUUAAAUUAAAAUUUAUUUAGAAUAAAUAUAUUUUAAUUAAAUUAAUUAUUUAGUUGGGGUGAUUUAAAAAUUUAGUAAACUUUUUAUAUUAUUUUAUAUUGAUAUAUAAUUAUUUGAUCUGCAAGUAGUGAUUAUGAGAUUAAAUUACCUUAGGGAUAACAGCGUAAUUUUAUUUAAAAGUU
rnacentral:rRNA from 1 species